GAAUUCAACUCCUACGGGAGGCAGCAGUGGGGAAUAUUGGACAAUGGGCGCAAGCCUGAUCCAGCCAUGCCGCGUGAGUGAUGAAGGCCCUAGGGUUGUAAAGCUCUUUCAGCGAGGAGGAUAAUGACGUUACUCGCAGAAGAAGCCCCGGCUAACUUCGUGCCAGCAGCCGCGGUAAUACGAAGGGGGCUAGCGUUGUUCGGAAUCACUGGGCGUAAGGCGCACGUAGGCGGACUUUUAAGUCAGGGGUGAAAUCCCGGGGCUCAACCUCGGAACUGCCUUUGAUACUGGAAGUCUGGAGUCCGAGAGAGGUGAGUGGAACUCCGAGUGUAGAGGUGAAAUUCGUAGAUAUUCGGAAGAACACCAGUGGCGAAGGCGGCUCACUGGCUCGGUACUGACGCUGAGGUGCGAAAGCGUGGGGAGCAAACAGGAUUAGAAACCCUAGUAGUCCAGGCGUU
rnacentral:rRNA from 1 species